AACGAACGCUGGCGGCAUGCCUAACACAUGCAAGUCGAACGAAGCCUUCGGGCUUAGUGGCGCACGGGUGCGUAACGCGUGGGAAUCUGCCCUUUGGUUCGGAAUAACAGUUGGAAACGACUGCUAAUACCGGAUGAUGACGAAAGUCCAAAGAUUUAUCGCCAGAGGAUGAGCCCGCGUAGGAUUAGCUAGUUGGUGUGGUAAAGGCGCACCAAGGCGACGAUCCUUAGCUGGUCUGAGAGGAUGAUCAGCCACACUGGGACUGAGACACGGCCCAGACUCCUACGGGAGGCAGCAGUGGGGAAUAUUGGACAAUGGGCGAAAGCCUGAUCCAGCAACGCCGCGUGAGUGAUGAAGGCCCUAGGGUUGUAAAGCUCUUUUACCCGGGAUGAUAAUGACAGUACCGGGAGAAUAAGCCCCGGCUAACUCAGUGCCAGCCGCCGCGGUAA
rnacentral:rRNA from 1 species